rnacentral:rRNA from 1 species
UGCGUAACGCGUAUGCAACCUACCUUUAACAGGGGGAUAACACUGAGAAAUUGGUACUAAUACCCCAUAAUAUCAUAGAAGGCAUCUUUUAUGGUUGAAAAUUCCGAUGGUUAGAGAUGGGCAUGCGUUGUAUUAGCUAGUUGGUGGGGUAACGGCUCACCAAGGCGACGAUCGGUAGCUGGUCUGAGAGGACGACCAGCCACACUGGGACUGAGACACGGCCCAG